AAAAAGAAAGGAUACACAGCAUGGCCUGUAAAAUUUAAGAUAUUUUACUCUUUAGCCUUCUGGAGAAAAGUUUUCUGACUUGUAUUAUUAGCUAUGAGAUUUAAAAAAAAAAACUUUUAUCUUCAUGCAGAAAGUUUAAAAAAUGUUUAAGGAAAAGGAGGUAUGUUGCCUCUUCAGUCCUACAACUGUGACACUACAAAAAAUAGCCACCUUUUGUAAAUCUAUAUCAAAGUUUUUUUUUAAAGAUUUAUUUAUUUAUUUUGUAUAUGAGUACACUGUAGCUGUCUUCAGACACACCAGAAGGGGACAUCAGAUCCCAUUACGGAUGGUUGUGAGCCACCAUGUGGUUGCUGGGAAUUGAACUCAGGACCUCUGGAAGAGCAGUCAGUGCUCUUAACCACUGAGCCAUCUCUCCAGCCCUAUAUCAAAGUUUUAUGCAAAAAUAAAUAAGUGAAUGAAAGUUAGGUGCGGUGACCCAAUCCCAGCACUUGAGAGGUUAGGGCAGGAAGACCAGGAACCCGAAGUCAUCCUCAGCUAUGUCAUGAGUUUAGGGCCUGUCUAGACUGCAGCAGACUCUAUCUAAAAAACAAUAAUGAUGAUAAAAUAUUUUCAAAUCUCCAUUUCAGAUUUCAAACGGAAGAGCUUCCUAAUUUCCUUUAGAGUUGAACUUAAUUGGGCUACUUAUUUGCUUGAGGGGAAGCCAGGCCUCACACACGGUAAGCCCACACUCAGCCCUGAGCCUUAUUUAAGUAAAAAAAACAAAAAACAAAAAACAAAAAACAAAAACAAAA
rnacentral:lncRNA from 1 species